rfam:Agrilus planipennis Contig12791, whole genome shotgun sequence.
GGAGAGGUUUUAGUCGGUAGGCGUCCUCCGGGAUGAAUCCGACACUACCCGGUCGCGCGGCCGCCGGGUGUCUUUUGAAGAUUUCCUCUCC